UACGUAGGGUGCAAGCGUUGUCCGGAAUUAUUGGGCGUAAAGAGCUCGUAGGCGGUCUGUCGCGUCUGCUGUGAAAACCUAGGGCUUAACCCUGGGCCUGCAGUGGGUACGGGCAGACUAGAGUGCGGUAGGGGGAGACUGGAAUUCCUGGUGUAGCGGUGAAAUGCGCAGAUAUCAGGAGGAACACCGGUGGCGAAGGCGGGUCUCUGGGCCGUAACUGACGCUGAGGAGCGAAAGCAUGGGUAGCGAACAGG
rnacentral:rRNA from 1 species